GUCUCAGAAGCUAUUGAGGGUCUGAGGGGUGGCGCCGUGGCGGCCAGGGGAGAGGAGAGAAACGGCGGGUUUGAGGCCGGUGCGGCGGGGUUGAGACCGGCGAGGGGAAGGGACGGGGCGUAGGGAGCGUAGGUAGGUCCGAGGUUAAGACUGUAGACUGUGGCUAAGUUGGUGCGAUCCUAUGUCGACGUGCCACUGCCGCCUCGUCCUUCGAUCGUCGCCGCUCGGUGGCUACCUGCGCGUCCUUUGAUCGUGUUGUCUCGCGUGUUCUAUGAGCGAGUUUGUGUGGUACAGCACCCGACCGUAUGGUACCGACCUCUGCUCUGCCUCGCGAGCUUCACAUGGGUGUAAUAUAUCAGAGAACCGUCUAAAUCUAAGGGGAUUUUUUUACUAUGACAACACAAGUACAACUUAUGAUAAAGUCCAAGCGCUCCGUUGUUGAUGAUCUUCUUUAAAACGUUAAAUCGUAAAAAUCGUGUAAGACCAACACUCAUUUACAUAAAAUCAAAUUCCUUAUACAUACGAACACCGGUCGACGUCAAAUUGUAAAACAGUUAAAAACGAUUCUAAAAGAGGACAUUAAUAGACUAAUGAUAAACUGGUUGUAGCAAACGUUUAUAAAUAAAAACUGCUAAAAGGAAAAAAAACAUCCAAACUGUUCUUAAGCCAUAUACAAGAUUUACAAGCCGAAUCUUCUUCGCAAAAUAGCCUACCCUUGGCAUACAAACUAACACGAUACACAUGGAUAGUUGAAAUACUGUAGCUAAACUAGUUACAGAGUCAUGUAAGAAAACAACAAGGAAUAGAAAGGAGCAAGGCAUCACAUCGUUCC
rnacentral:rRNA from 1 species